rnacentral:rRNA from 1 species
AACGGAGGGGGCGAGCGUUAUUCACCUUGACUGGGCGUAAAGGGUAUGUAGAUGGUUUUUUUUUUUGAAAUAAGUAAUCCAAGCUUAACUUUUGAAGUUAUUUCUUAUAAAACAAAACUUGAGAUUUUUAGGAGUAAGUUACAUUUUAAAGUUAGAGGUGAAAUUCAUGUAUAUUAAAAAGAUAUCCUUAUAGCAGAAAGCUAA